GGAAUUUUGGACAAUGGGGGCAACCCUGAUCCAGCCAUGCCGCGUGAGUGAAGAAGGCCUUCGGGUUGUAAAGCUCUUUCGGCGGGGCCGAAACGGUGCGUGCUAAUACCACGCACUAAUGACGGUACCCGAAGCAGAAGCACCGGCUAACUACGUGCCAGCAGCCGCGGUAAUACGUAGGGUGCAGGCGUUACUCGGAAUUACUGGGCGUAAAGCGUGCGCAGGCGGUCUGUUAAGACAGGUGUGAAAUCCCCGGGCUUAACCUGGGAAUUGCGCUUGUUACUGGCAGGCUUGAGUGUGGCAGAGGGGGGUGGAAUUCCAAGUGUAGCAGUGAAAUGCGUAGAUAUUUGGAGGAACACCGAUGGCGAAGGCAGCCCCCUGGGUUAACACUGACGCUCAUGCACGAAAGCGUGGGGAGCAAAC
rnacentral:rRNA from 1 species